GAUGAACGCUGGCGGCGUGCCUAAUACAUGCAAGUCGAGCGAACAGACGAGGAGCUUGCUCCUCUGACGUUAGCGGCGGACGGGUGAGUAACACGUGGAUAACCUACCUAUAAGACUGGGAUAACUUCGGGAAACCGGAGCUAAUACCGGAUAAUAUAUUGAACCGCAUGGUUCAAUAGUGAAAGACGGUUUUGCUGUCACCUAUAGAUGGAUCCGCGCCGCAUUAGCUAGUUGGUAAGGUAACGGCUUACCAAGGCAACGAUGUGUAGCCGACCUGAGAGGGUGAUCGGCCACACUGGAACUGAGACACGGUCCAGACUCCUACGGGAGGCAGCAGUAGGGAAUCUUCCGCAAUGGGCGAAAGCCUGACGGAGCAACGCCGCGUGAGUGAUGAAGGUCUUCGGAUCGUAAAACUCUGUUAUUAGGGAAGAACAAAUGUGUAAGUAACUAUGCACGUCUUGACGGUACCUAAUCAGAAAGCCACGGCUAACUACGUG
rnacentral:rRNA from 1 species